UUUGAUGAGCAACAUCCACCCCUUUGCCACCAAACGCUGGUGGCAACGGGGUGGCUUGCACGCAUCCCAAGACACUCUAUUUUUGCGAAAUUCAAUUCUCGAUCGAGCUCGAAGGCACGUUAUUGGUCUAGAGGGAGCUAUAGUCCCACGGUAAGGGAUUAUUGCCAUUUUAAUACUUUGAUGGUGAUUUUCUAGUUAUUAUGAAG
rnacentral:misc_RNA from 1 species